UGCAACAAAUAAAAACUGCCGAAGACAGUAGGUGCCGUAAGGCGUAAGGUGGUACCGCCUACCGAGGAGAAGUUGGUUUAUAUUAUAUGAAAUAUAACCUCUUUUUGCUUUGGCAGGAAGAGGUUUUUUUAUUGGAGA
rfam:Herbinix sp. SD1D isolate SD1D genome assembly, chromosome: I